UACGUAGGGUGCAGGCGUUAAUCGGAAUUACUGGGCGUAAAGCGUGCGCAGGCGGUUUCUUAAGUCAGAUGUGAAAGCCCCGGGCUUAACCUGGGAACUGCGUUUGAAACUGGGAGACUUGAGUGUGGCAGAGGGGGGUGGAAUUCCGACGUGUAGCAGUGAAAUGCGUAGAUAUGUGGAGGAACACCAAUGGCGAAGGCAGCCCCCUGGGUCAACACUGACGCUCAUGCACGAAAGCGUGGGGAGCAAACAGG
rnacentral:rRNA from 1 species